UCCUAUUUGAAAUUUAAAAUACUAAUAAAUAGUUUAAAAGAAAAAAAUAAGACAUCAGCAAGAAAGAAAGUCAAAGGCUCAAAGGAAAGUCAUUGGAUAAAACGAGAUGAUGAUGUUUGGUGGAAUCAUGGCUUCCCAGCAUCUGAGCCCCCUCCAAUAUUUGGUGAAUUUCCUUCCAUUCAGGUCUUUGUGAGAAAAAAAGCCACUUCCGUUAUAGCCGGACUCUUGCUUUCCCAGCCUCUCUGGUAACUAUAGCACAGGGGUAGCCAUGAGUAAUCAGACAACCCAGGGCUUCAAAUCAUUGGCUCAGUGACUUGCCAACAGGAAGCUUUCAUUGUGGUGACUGGAGCAGCAGCAGCCAGUUGCCAGGCCAGGGCCAAGCAGCAUUCCAGCAUUCAAGCCACCAUGUCACAUUCAACAGGGGAGGCAGGGAUGGCUCACCAGGCUGGUUCUGUGGUGUGACUUGACUGUGACUCUGUCCUCUUGGUUCCACCCCAUAUUCUUAGUCUAGUGCCCAGCAUUUCACAGUGAUUCUACCUGAUAUUUUUCAGGAAAUACCCUUUAUGUUCACACCAAUCAGAGUCAGUUUCAAUUGCUUGCCUUGAAGAUUCCUAAGGUUAUAUUAUAUAAAAGGAUAUAUUUGUGCUAAAUCAGAACAAUGGCAAUGGCACCAAGCCAUAUAGAGUUGCCACUAAAUCCAUUUUAGCAUGGGAGUCCUCUCCUACCUAUGAACCUGGAAAAUCACAGGGAUGGCCAGGCUCCAUUUUCAUUACUACAUCAUGCAGUGACCUCUUCCUUGGAAUCUCACUUAAAGAGAAAGUAGAAUGGGAAACCAGAGAUAGACGGGAAUAUGGUUCAAAAAUCUUUUAUUAAUUUUCCCACUAUACUUAAAUGUAAAUUCUUAUCAAACCCCGUGUAUUUAAUAACAAAUUCCUUGUUCUCAUAGCCUAUUGUAAAAUGUACUAAUUAAAGAACUAAAGAUGAGAGUUGUGUGGUAUUAGGGGUAGAAGUGCAAAAACUGUUUAAUGCACAAAUUUCUUCAUUUCACUGUGCAUCGUGGCAGCGUCACAACACAGCACUUGAAACAAAGGCCUUCUGAGCUAUUUUAAAAAUAGAUCCAGGCUUUGUGAACAGGAAAACUGCUAAGUGAUACACAGGGCUUUAUUACACAAAAUUGGUAUUUUAAAUAGAGAGAAACUGUUUAACAGACCAUCACAUGCAGUAAAACUGUCAAGAAAAGCAAAGACACGAGGAACACAAAUUUCAAAAGAAUGGUUCAGAGGAAGAGAAUGGAAAGGGGAAGGGGCUUGUAUUCCAUAUAAGUGAGCGGUAGAUACACAGGGGCUUAUUUCAUUACUAGGCUUGAAACUACAGGAUAUAAACUCCUGAAUAUAUGACAGGAGUUUCAGAAAGAAAAAAUCUAAAGACACAAAGGACAAAGCAUAAUAAAACUAAAAAAAGACCCCAUUUCAACAACAUCUUCCUUCAGUCUACUUAAUUGUUGAAGCCCCAAACUGUUAAUACACCCCCAGAAGCAAGCACACAUUCCUUCCCUUAAGAUGAAAGACAGAGCCUUCAUCCUUUUCACUGCAGGACCACCGGCAGAUAGAGCCCUGGGCAGAUAAUAAGCUGCAGGUGGAGGCACUGCUCAACAUUCAUCCUUAUCAAGGGCGAUUGAAGGAUCUCUGCAGUGCCUCCCUCCCCAGCCCGCGUUCAGGCAUUGAUGUGCUCAACGUGAGCACGGGCUCUUUCUUUGCCUUAACAGGCACUUCCUCGGAAACUCCAAACCGCCAGAGACCUCACCAGCUUGCCCAGCCUAGAUCAAUGCGCCGCUUGUUACAGAACACUGAAAAGGUUCCAGGGACACGUUUGCCGUGUCUGCCUCCAUCAGCAGCUACCUCGAGCUCAAUAAACGGACACACUCUGCCCUCCUCCCUGCCACAUCUUCAUAAGAAAUUCAAGAGAACCUACAGCUUUGUUGUUAACCUUUCAAAACACCAGAAAUGAAUCUCAGUAAAACCUAAACAUGAGUUGCCAUAGUGGGGGGACGGGGGAGGGGGAGGCAGAGCACAAAACUCUACUUCUUAAUCAACCACGUGUAAGAGAGAAAAGGAUCCAACAAAAAGCUUACAUUGGAACCUUGGCAUCUGGAAAAUACAACUAUGUAAUAAUGACUUACAAUGCCGCCUCUGAGUGGAUGAUGACGAGGCCACUGGUGGCGAUUGCUUCUUUGUACCAGAAAGACCUGGAAAUAGCAAUAACGUGAGAACAAUAAUGCCAUCCAUGAUGUCCAUAGGCAAAAGAACACUGAAAUUAACAGCAAAUAAUAUUUUCAGAACAUCCUGGAAGUUGCCAUAGGUGUUAGGGGGAGAGGAGAGAGGUAGGGGGUAUGCAUUUGACCAUCCAGAGAUCUUAGGGUCAAAUCUCUGCAUCCUUUGACUUUAUUCUGAGUCUUAACUUCCUGGCCAGUACUGAAGACAGUGAUCUCCACUACAUGGAGCUGCUGUGAGGUUUACAUGAGACAAUGUAAUGACUCGCCCACCAUGGGUGGCGCAAAGCGCUCAGUAACCACUGGCUCCACUCCUGUUGGCUGAAACACCUAUGUCCACAAAGGGCUGCUUCUUUCCUGAUUGCAACAGGCCAGGCCAGUCUCUCUAGGCCCAGAACUUUGUGGCAGUCCACCGCUGCACCCCUGAGUUGACAUUCAUGCCUCAGAACAGCCUGAAGCAAUUUUCCGUAAUACACACACAAGCUCUCACUGCAUUAGGGUGCCCAGGGUUGCAGAUCACAGAGCAGCGAACUGGCUUUGCUCCAGUCCCACAGGGUUGGUGCUCUUUUGUUGAUGCUUCACAUCCAGGCAAAUUCUUAUGUGAUAUUAAUAAAAGAGACUGAACUCAGACAAAAUUAAAGAGCUGUCCUAAGAGGGGUCUAUGGACCACUCUUCACCCUCAUGGUAUGUCCCUUAUGCCCUCUAAUCAGGCAUCCCACAACCAUAUUUGAUGAAUGCUCCCUGUUCCCUGUCCUUCUAGAGCUAUAAUCUCUAACAAGUCACCCUGUGAGACCUACCAACUCAGUUACUGCCCCAGGCCUCACCUCAAAAACUUUCCUAUGGGCUUAACACUCCCUCUCACGGGGUGACAAAUCAAACCACUUAUAGGAGACUGACUCUAAUCUUCCAUUUAAUGAAUAAGAAGCCAUGGCCCUGAGGCCCAGGGAUGCAAUGCCAGAUGCGAGGUAACAGCCAGGUCUGGAGGCCAGAUCCCCUGACUCCCAGUCCAAGCGGUUCCCCACACUGAGGCCGGGCAGCUGGACCAGAACCACAACACACAAUGGCUCAGGGGUACUCCUGCUCUGAAAUAAUAUUUGCUUAUAACAGGGCCCUUGAGCUAAAUGGGAUGAGUAAUACUUAAAUUUGAAAAAAGCUUUCAGGACCAGUAGAAAGAUAUUUGGGGUUGAAUAAGAGGCUUUGAGUCUCCCUGAAAUCAUUCCACAUCAGUUAUCACCUAUAUUUCCAGGAAUGUUCUGCAGAUGAAGGAGAACAUGGCCUCCAUUUUUCUUCCAUCUAUUGAUUCAAUGAACAGCUGCUGAAUGUCCAAUAUGUACCAGGUAUAUCACCAUAGGGAUUGAAGGUACAAACACCUACAAUAUGUACACAGUAUAUCACUAUAGGGAUUGAAAAGAUCUCAC
rnacentral:lncRNA from 1 species